rnacentral:lncRNA from 1 species
UUCUCUUCUUUGUUUUGAUUGAAUUUUUAUCUCUUGCUCUGAAUCCUUGAAGUUUCUCUAUUAGUAAUUCCCUGGCUUUUGAAUAGUUGCUCAUUAGAGAGUUAAUAUCUAGUGAUUCAUUGAGAUGUUUCAGUAUGUCCAAUAGAACAACUAGAGAUUAAUAGAACAAUUUCAAUGGGCUGUGUACAGUUUUGAGAACACUGGAUAAACGUUAAUUUAAGCUUCAGCUGUGUGUACUUAUUUGAUGAGGCUCUUGAAUGUGCACCCAAUGUAGCUACUAGGCUACUACCCGAUGUCUCAUUUUAUUAUGUUAGAUGAACAAGGGAGGCAUGAUACGUAGGCGAUCCUUUGAUUUUAUAGAAACCGCUGCUUGUUAAAUGAGUAGUCCUGCACUUUACCUACAUUUUGGUGCGAGGAAGAUAUUAUCAUAUAGAUGCCUGACUUGGCUCAUUGUAAGUAGCUCCCUGUUGUGUGCAUUCACUCUUAAUCUACACUACAACCUUGUCAAAAGAAAAGGAAGAAAAAGAUAGUGGUUAGCCUUCAAGUGUUUAAUGGACUAAGCACGCAAUGGUCUAACACAGUAAUUCCAACAAGAGUAUUUUAAAACAUGCAAGAAUACCACAUUUAGGGUUCGAACCUGCAACCUAAAAGAACUCUUUUAUCACCUUUGCCACUACAAAGGUGUACAAGAGAUUUGUUUUUGCGCAAUUUGCAAAGCAUAAUUGUCCGGCAAAGAUUCUUCAAUUAAACUCCCUUCAUUAUAUUACAUAUUUCAUUAAAAAGGAAUAAAAUGCACCCCCUUAAUUAUAUAUGUAGCUUCGUCACUGCAGGCAUGUAUUCACCAUAUUAUAAAGUUUGAGAACAUUCCUAGUGUGUUAGAUCGUUUGUGAUUGUAAAGGAUGUGCACUUUGCAAAAUCCGCACGCAUGUUAAUUGCAUGAUGAAUUGCAUGAGGCACUGUGCUUUAAGCUUGUCUGGUGGAGAUUGUUUUGGUGUUAAGGUUUGACCUCAUUUGAACUCUUCUCUGAUCCCAUCUAAUCUGAUCUCUAUCAAUGGCAGGGUGAUGACGACUCUGAUGAUGACGAGGAGAAGAAACAACACUACAAGCACCACCACCGCAAACACUAUGAUGAUUGAGCAAGUGUGCUUUAAUCAUCUGAACCAGAUUUAUGCCACACUAAGAACUAUUUAUAAAAUAAAAGUUGGCAAGUUUGAGAUAUAUUUUGUUUGUGAAUGUUUGCUAUGUUGGCUGGACUGGACUGUCCAGUUAUUCAUGUGAUGUAUUUUGCUUUGUGCAAAUCCCUGACAUUUGUCAGGGUUAGUAUGCCAUGAAUGUGUGAACUUUAUGAUCAUGAUGACUCUUAUCUCUAUCCCUAGUUCUUAUCAUACUCAUACAUAUCAAAUAUUGAUGAUGAGAACUUAGCAAAUUCAUUCGGCUGGAACGAAUGAUGUACGUUUGCAAUUUACUCAUGGUUUGUGAUUGACUUGAUCGCUAUAUUCCAGCAUCUCUAUUGAGAGUGCAGAGAUCUUCUGAUUGGUGCUGCACGUCAUGUGCCAGCAUAUUUGCUACUAUGAUCGGAAUUGUUAAUUUAUCUUCUUUUCUUUCCUCUUUACUUUCUUGAAUAGAAAAUACGAAAAAUGGUACCCUCUUACUUGCCAUUUUGGUUCACUUAUGCCCUUUGGUAGUUAGGUCAGUAUUAAAUUAAAAGUAAUUAUAAUUAGUUAAAUUUUAUGUGGCUACUUCUUAUUGGCCAAAAUUAAACCAUCUAACUCAUUAGAAAGAUUCACCCAUAUCUACCAAUUUUUUGUACUCACCCGUUUUAAAUACUAACCCGACCAGAGCAAAAAGAAACUAAAAAAGAGAGGUGCCAUUUUUAUCAAACUCCAUGGACGUUGCUGCGAACAUAUAGAUGCAAAUUUAUUACGUGAUUUUCUAUUUCUUGUUAUGACAUUUAAUUCAAACAUGAUAAACACAAAUUGAUUCGAGAUGAGUUUAAUUUAAUCAUUUUUAUAUGACAGAAAGACCUAAAGUGAUUGUAUGGAAGAUAUCAUAAAUCAUUGGACUACCUCUAGUUUUUCGUCCCGCAUUAUUGUCAAGAAAAUCAUGCUCAUUCAUGCUAGGCUUUUCUUAUUUGUUUGAUUUGUUCAUGAAUCUUUAUUGAAUGAUAAUGCUAUACAUUAGAUUAAUCAAGAAAAUGAACACAUGUAAAUCCAUGAGUUAAGAUGGAAAUAAGUGUCUUUUAUUUUUAUUUGAACAUUUUAUUUGGGUCAGGUUAGUAUUUUGGGUGGUUUAGUCUGAAAAACGAGUAUAUAUGGGUGGGUCUUUCGAUAUGUUAGAUAUUUUAAUUUCGAUCAAUAAGAAGUUGUCGCGUGAAAUUUAAAUAAUUAUUUUUCAAAUUCAGCAGUGAUCAAAUGGUCAAAGGGCAUAAGUAAACCAAAAAGGUGGAUGGAUGGACACUUUUUGUCCAGUAGGUGGAAGAAGGAUAUUUUUAGACCGUUCAAUAGUUAAGAGGAAUUUUUUUUACCCUUCCCCAUAGAAAAUAUAUACUCGGGAGAAAUUCAAAAAUAGCCAAAUUUUUAAGUAAUCAUUCAAAAAUAGCCACAGUUUCAAAAGUAAUAGAAACUUAGCCACUUUUCAUGUAAAGAUAAAUUUGAACGAAAACACUGUUCAAAAUUUGAAAAAAUACUUCAGUAUAUUAUACUAGAGUUCCAGUUAUUGGAUGUGAAAUCAACUCUGUUGGUUUUAAAAUCUGUCCGUGGGUGUUCAAUUUGUUACUGUUGUUGCUGUUUGCUAUUGUUGCUGUUACUGCUGAUCCUUUUCUUCUCCUGUCCGAUUUCUCUAAUCGAGGUAUUCACUUGAGUUAAAUAUUGGUGUAACUGCGCGGUUGAGCAUGAGUUGAAAUGUGAAGACUUUUUAUUAUGAAAUAUUGUACUUCUAGUUUAAUAGAUAAAAUGAUAAUUAGUUAUGUAAUUUUUGGUUUAUAAUUCAACAGAAAUGCAUUAGGUAGUUUGUACUUAACUGAAGCUUUAUUUGUUUAAAACUGCAAUUUGUAGUUGCUUAAUAUAGUUAUGUGAUUUGUAGGAAUGAACAUGUAGUUAGUAGAUUGAUAACUAGAUUUCAUCCCUAGUCGUCUUUUACAUAUAUAAGGUAAUCCGGAAUCUGCUUCAAUUCAAAUUGGUAAAUAGCUAGUAUGGAGAAUCGAUUUAACUUAAUUGGUUGGCAAGAUCUAGCUCUGAACUUGCGAAUAUUGGAAUAGAAGUAAUUUAAAAUUUGUGAUUUUUGAAUCUUGUUAGUAACAAAGAUCUGCAAGUAUUAGGCAAACAUAGUUGGUUAUUAAUUCUGUAGAAUCAAGAUGUAGCAAGGGAUAAUGUUACUUUAAUAGGCAUGAUUUGAGUUCAAACAAGGCGAGUUAACGUUUAAGUUUAAUAGCUUUCUAAUAAGCUUUAGUAAUUAUG